UCACAGAACCGCUCUAUGCAAAACAACUCCCUCUUUGUGAAAUCCAGGAACAUCAUGGCUGAGGCAAACAGAAAGGUUCAGAAGAAAUCAGGCACACUAUCCAGUCUGUGGCCACCAGACCAAAGGACCUUGGGAGGCAUUUGGAAAAAGGAGUGCAAGGCUUGACUUCCUGGGAAAGCAAGUGAGCUCCACUGGAGAGAGGACAAUCCCUUCAUGAUCUAGAGCCCGAAGAUAGGAUCUUCUGAGAACAUCAGAGAAAGACUAUCUCUACCAUCCACACUACAGCAAAACUUUGGAGCCUUGAACCUUGGGUUCAUAAUCUCACAACUGAGAAGGGUCCCUCCACACUCCUACAACUGUACACCCAUUGAAACCCUUAAGGUAAAACUAACCAGAAAGUUUCUCCCCACAAGAAGAUGGCAUCCUCGAUGUGAACUGCUUUUCCCAAGAUCACUAAUCAAGACUUCCACUAUUGAGAGACUUACCUUUGAAUAUAUUUUCCUUGUUUGUGUCUCUGAACAAUAGAAAUGA